rnacentral:rRNA from 1 species
UGAAUACGAGAUGCUACGGCGUCGGAGCAGUCUAUGUCAUACUUCCAAGAAAAGCUUGCACUGUCAUAAACAAAUAAUGCCUGUACCAUAACCGACACAGGUGGGUAGGUAGAGUAUACUAAGGGGCGCGAGAUAACUCUCUCUAAGGAACUCGGCAAAAUGACUCCGUAACUUCGGGAGAAGGAGUGCCUUAUUUUAUAAGGUUGCAAUAACAAGAUCCAAGCAACUGUUUACCAAAAACACAGGUCUCCGCUAAGUCGUAAGACGAUGUAUGGGGGCUGACGCCUGCCAGUGCCAGAAGGUUAAAGAAGUUGGUUAGCAUCCGCGAAGCUGAUAACUGAAGCCCUGGUGAACGGCGGCCGUAACAAUAACGGUCCUAAGGUAGCGAAAUUCCUUGUCGGGUAAGUUCCGACCCGCACGAAAGGCGUAAUGAUUUGGAUACUGUCUCAGAGAGGGGCUCGGUGAAAUAGACUUGUCUGUGAAGAUGCGGACUACCCGCACCAGGACAGAAAGACCCUAUGAAGCUUUACUGUAACUUGAAAUUGAAAUUGGACUUUACCUGCGCAGUAUAGGUGGGAGGCGUUGAGAAUAUUCUUGCGGGAAUGUUGGAGCCAUCAGUGAGAUACCACUCUUGUAAUGUUAGAUUUCUAACUUUGUAUCAUUAUCUGGUCAAAGGACAGUUUCAGGCGGGCAGUUUGACUGGGGCGGUCGCCUCCCAAACGGUAACGGAGGCGCACAAAGGUUUCCUCUGAACGGGUAGAAAUCGUAUCUAGAGUGUAAAGGCAUAAGGAAGCUUGACUGUGAGACCUACAAGUCGAGCAGGGACGAAAGUCGGUCUUAGUGAUCUGACGGUGCUGAGUGGAAAGGCCGUCACUCAACGGAUAAAAGUUACUCUAAGGAUAACAGGCUGAUCUCCCCCAAGAGUUCACAUCGACGGGGAGGUUUGGCACCUCGAUGUCGGCUCAUCGCAUCCUGGGGCGGUAGUACGUCCCAAGGGUUGGGCUGUUCGCCCAUGAAAGCGGUACGCGAGCUGGGUUCAGAACGUCGUGAGACAGUUCGGUCCAUAUCCGGUGUAGGCGUUAGAAUAUUGAGAGGAGCCUUCUUUAGUACGAGAGGACCGAGAAGGACAUACCUCUGGUGUACCAGUUAUCGUGCCAACGGUAAACGCUGGGUAGCUAUGUAUGGAGUGGAUAACCGCUGAAAGCAUCUAAGUGGGAAGCCCACCUCAAGAUAAG